GGCGCCCUGCCCUUAGAUAAUUCUUUAUUGGCGCUAUGAGAAGCUGUCGCCCUCUCCAAGCAAAGCAAAGCACAGGUCCGGAGCCGAGAGGCCCAACUGCGGCUUUUCCGAAGGGCUCCGCUCCCAGGACACUUCUGUGAGAGGACUUGGGGGGGCCUGGGAGGGUCUCCAUCCCUCCCAGGAUCCUCAAGUAUACAAUGAGCACCGUCUUCCAAGGUGGGCGUCGGGCACCUUCCAGUUAGAGUUAACCAGGAAGGAAAUGGACUCGUGAUGGGGCAAGGGGACUGUGCUGACAGCUGGGGCCCCCUCAGGACCUCUAUACUUCAUCUUCACCCAGUUGGUUCCCUUCUCAGCCAGUUUAUCCUGCAAGAACAAAAGGGUUAAGAAACACCCAGUACCUAGGACUACUGUGCCACUAAGGAUAGGCAAAAGGUAAAGCCUCAGAAUCCACAGGAACUGGCCUGACAGCCCCCACGGCCAUGCUUCGGGAGUUCCCCAACUGUGGCAGAAAGGAGCUAUUGCCCCCUGUCCCCCUAUCCCAGUGGCCAAAUCCAAGGGCAGCGGUGACUGACUAGGCCAAGUCAGAAGCCACUUCUGGGAGAGGACGGGACAGGAGAAAGCAGCCCGACAGGGGAGCUCCAACUCCCAGAAGAUCCGGCCGGGGGCCUUGGGACAAGCUGUGUGACCUCAGACAAGCGUCUUGGGCUCAGCCUGGAGGUGGGAGUCCGGCUCCUCCCCCCUUUUCACAGCUAAAGUCCCGGCAGCUCCGGAAGGCCCAGGCGGCAGGCAAGGGACAAGCCCGCAGCUGGAGCCCAGAGAGAAAUGCUCCUGCUCCCCUCCCCCAGCCCCCGCAGGGAGCCCAGGAAAGGGUCGCCACCGUCACCGCCACCAGGAGAGCGCAGGGACGCUCCCACGUUCCACCGGACUUGGGAGAAGCUGGGGCAGCUGGUGGGGAGGCUGGCCGCUUCCGAAGUCCGUGGCGGGCCGGCUGCAUGGUAGCCGCUGUCACACGCACAGUGGGUCCCGCAGCACAAUGUGCGUUAGUCAGUGGCUCCCCUGCGACCGGAGUCUGAAUUUCAUGACUAAAGCCAGGAGCGCGGAGCCCAGACCUGGAUGCCAGAGAUAACCCCGCAGCAAAGCCCUUGAGGCUAAAAGUCUGGAGACCAGAACCGAAGGGCCGGCGGACCCCCGCUCAAAGCCAGAACCCAAGCACUGAAUCUCAAGCGACUAGACCCCGGAAGCCUGGCACCCCGGAACGCAGCAGGCGGAGCCCGAGAUGGAACUGGAAGCCAAGCACUGGCGCCGGGAAGCACAGGAGACGCGCCCGAGUCCUGGAGCUGGGUCCCGCGGAGCGCAGGAGACGCAUCCGGAGGAGCGCGGAGCCCAGACCUGGCGCCGGGGGAGCGCAGGACCCGGGGCUGGGGCCGCACCCACAGCUCGGGUGGAAUCCGGAGCCCAGGUGCCGGCAUCGGGGAACAUAGGAGACGAGCCCGAGCCCGAGCCCGGAGCCGCGGCCCAGGAGACGAAUCCAAGCAGGAGCGCUAGAGCCCAAGCGCCGGCGCCCGAGCCGGGCACCGCGGAGCCCAGGAGACAGACUGAGCCCUGCAACCAGAGCUCGCAGCGCUGCAGUCCCGAGCCCCAGCGCUGGCACCGGGAAGCGCACAAGGCGAGCCCCAGCCCGAGCGCUGCAGCCCGGAGCCCGAGCCUGGCACCGCGCGCGGAAGCUAGAGCCCAGAGCCCAAGGGCUGGAACCCGAGUCCGCAGCCUGCACGCCGCCCUCCCCCACCCUGCCCGCCCCCGGGGCGCAAGCGGUGAGCGUCUGGCUCGGGCGCUGGAGUUCAGAGCUCCAAGUCCCGAGCCCGGCAGCCCGGAGCGGACAUCCUCGGAGCCCGGCUCCGCUCUGGGGGGCUCGGCUGCGGCGGCCCCGCUCCCGCUGGCGCCACCGUGGAGUUUCCCAAGGCCGGAUCCGAGCCGCCAGGGCUGGGUCGGCCCGGGACCAACGUCUCCCUGGCCCCCGGGCCCCGAGAUACCCCCUAGGGGCCCCCAGGCCUCCGGGCCCCGGUGCCCCGACCCGCCAGCCCGCGCUCCGCCGCCGCCGCCGCCGCCGCCGCCGCCCCGCGUACCCAGCCUUCCGCCCCGCCCCGCAGGCCCCGCCCCUUUGCAAAUUACCCGCUAGCCUCCCAACCAAUAGGAAGUCGGUCUAAGCCCGCCCCGCUGCAGAUGCAGCCAAUGAGCGAGAGAAGGGGCGUGGCCUAUAGGCCCCGCAAGGGUGGUAGGCUCCAGUGCCCCGGCCGAGGGCCGCGCGGCGCGUUCGUUUCUGCACGUCCUCCUUCUGGGGGAAACCAUUUUCUCGGAGAUGGGGGAGUCAGACUCUGGAGUGAAUCCAUCCCUCGCAAUCUCCUGACUUCAUUGCGCACCCUAAAAAGACUACAAACGGAGAGACGGAAGGGGGGCGGGCUCGCGGGCCCCAUCCAGCAGAGGUGGGGAAGGGGAGGGAGAACGGGCCUCCCCCGAGGUUAGCGCAGUGGUAGGGACCCACCCGACGGCUACGCAGGGCCAUGAGGACGGGGUCGUUGGGCACGUAGCCACCGGCGCCGCGCACGCAGGCCGGGCCCCGCCCUCAGCUCCACGGGGCGCGCGCCUCUCUCCCCUAGCCAGCUGAAGUCUGGCGGAGAGCCGACGUAGUAGCCCUCGGCGGCCGCGCUGGGGCGCCAGAGCGCUGCGAGCGGUCCCUGGGUCCGCGCGGCUCCGCCUCCGCCUUUGCGUGCGCAGCCCUUAGUCCUUGUGCGUCUCCUCCGGCCUCCCCAGCCCCCUUACGUUUCCAGCAAGCCGCGCGGAGCCCGGCAUCGAGGCCCCCGGGGGGCCCGCCCCCGCGCAUCCCCCCGAGGCUUUUAAGGGGCUCCCAGGAAAGGGCCAGCGGAGCAGGCCGAGAGGGGAACUGGCCGCCAGCGCUGUCCACCGGCCCCUCCUCCUCGGGCGGGGGCAGCCCCCUCCCCUCGGAGCCCGGCCCAGGCCACGGGGUCUUCCAGGGCCGGAGUCUCCAUCCCUCCCCCGCCUCCCGCCUGGCGCUUGGAGGGUUGACUCGGAGCCCACGGGGAGACUCCUGUUCCUCCUUUGACAAGAGAAUCGGGCGGCUUGUGCUCUGGGCUCUCGGAGCUGCGGAUCCCAGAAGCCGGUAACCUCCCAGUGAUGAGGGCGCCCCCCAGUCUCUGCAAAGAGCCUCUGCUUCUGCGCCUUCAAGCCCCUCGCUGUAUCCCGCUAGAGGCUGAAGCCAAAAGGGGACCCUCACCCCUCUUCUGGAGAAGUUCCCCCCCACGGUCGGGGGAGCCUCCAGAAUCCUGGCAGUAACGCGGCUCCUCUGUCCCCGUACAGAGCCCACAGCGGGGCUUCCAGACGUGACCGGGCCUUGCCCAGCACCUCCUGCCCGCCACCCAACAGGCUCACCGCCAAGGGAUCAUCGUGUCCCCGAUUUCAGAGAGGGGAAGUGAGGCUCCCAGUGGGGCGCACUUGUUGGGGACGAUUGAUCCCUUUGGCAGCUCUGAAGGGCCAGCCGAAGGGGGUGGGAGGGGAGAGUGACCAGCUGAGCCACAGCAGUUAAGAAUCCCUCCCCUGGAAAAGUUUAGUGCCUGCAAAGCAGGGCCUUCACUCGGGCACAGUGCCUGUAAACAGGAAGUGCCAAAUAGAUGUUUAGGGACCUUCCCCAGCCUCUAUGGUCAAGAUUGCUUUUGCAGCCUCUGAACCCGCCAGCUGCCCAAGGAGAAGCCCGGCAGUGCUGAGGCUUCCAGGGCAUCUUGCACCAGUGCGAUAGAAGCUUCCCGAGGGCAGGGACAGGGCCCGUCUCUGCACCUGACAAGUAGCCACACUGUCCAUUCCCUUUAGUCGCGUCCAACUCUCUAUGACCCCAUUUGGGGUUUUCUUGACAACCUGGUUGCUGUUCCCCAGCUCUUUGUACAGAUGAGGACGCUGAGGCAGGCUAGUUAUAUGAGGGCCCAGGAUCACGCUGCCGAGACUGCCUUGCACUCUCACCUACUGUAACACUUAGCUGCCUCUGGCAAACAGGAGGCGCUCAAUAAAUGCUGGUUGAUUGAAGUCAGUUGAUCUAUGCUGUGACAGAAGGGGGGAGGGGAAGGCUCAAGUGACCAGGUGGCCACUGGGUGCUCAGAAGACUGGCCUUGGAGUCCGGAACACCCGAGUUCCAGGCUGGGUGAGCCCGGGCAAGUCACCUCGCCUUCCUGAUGGCAGACCCAGGGCUCCGGCCGCCGGUUCCCUAGCUGCCUCUAUCACUGUCGUCCCCCUCCCGGGCCCCUCGGCAGCUCCACCAAUGAUGCACCAGCUGGGCCAGCUUCCUGCCCCUUCUCCCUUGGAGGACGGCUCUCUCUGAGCCCUUCCCAGCGGGCUCCGCAUGCUGGGGACUCCUCAGGAUACCGCCGGUGCCUAUUCAAUGCUGGUGGCUGGGAAGGGACCACAGGAAGGCAGAACCAUCCCUUCCCCAGGCCUCCCCGCGAGCCCCACCCCUGGCUCCUUCCCCCACUCUCUCUGGCUCCCAGCGCCGGCCCUUCCCCU
rnacentral:lncRNA from 1 species